AUUGAACGCUGGCGGCAGGCCUAACACAUGCAAGUCGAACGAGUGGCGGACGGGUGAGUAACGUCUGGGAACCUGCCUGAUGGUGGGGGAUAACUACUGGAAACGGUAGCUAAUACCGCAUACCAUCGGAUGUGCCCAGAUGGGAUUAGCUGGUAGGUGGGGUAAAGGCUCACCAAGGCGACGAUCCCUAGCUGGUCUGAGAGGAGGAUCAGCCACACUGGAACUGGGACACGGUCCAGACUCCUACGGGAGGCAGCAGUGGGGAAUUUUGCACAAUGGGCGCAAGCCUGAUGCAGCCAUGCCGCGUGUAUGAAGAAGGCCUUCGGGUUGUAAAGUACUUUCAGCUGGGAGGCGUUACCCGCAGAAGAAGCACCGGCUAACUCCGUGCCAGCCGCCGCGGUAAUUC
rnacentral:rRNA from 1 species